rnacentral:rRNA from 1 species
UCUUUUCCUUUUUUGCCCGCCGCCGCGGUAAUACGGAAGGUCCGGGCGUUAUCCGGAUUUAUUGGGUUUAAAGGGAGCGUAGGCCGGAGAUUAAGCGUGUUGUGAAAUGUAGAUGCUCAACAUCUGAACUGCAGCGCGAACUGGUUUCCUUGAGUACGCACAAAGUGGGCGGAAUUCGUGGUGUAGCGGUGAAAUGCUUAGAUAUCACGAAGAACUCCGAUUGCGAAGGUAGCUCACUGGAGCGCAACUGACGCUGAAGCUCGAAAGUGCGGGUAUCGAACAGG